UCUUUCUGAUGGCCAAGCACACCAGGACUUCCUGAGGGCUGCUGGCUGGCAAAAGGUGGCUGUUGGGUGUUUGACAUGGCCUGUGAUGAUCAACUCACUUUACAUCUUCCAGAGUACGAGGAUGGCCAGGGCACUCCUACUCUGGAGCAGGGAAGAUGAGGUAACUGCAGCAAGGUGCUGAAGUGGAGCGAUUUUUGGGAAACUGGAGAUGGAAUCUCAAGGGGCAUAAUGAGCCAUCUGAUCCUGCUCAGAAACGGUGAAUGCUGGGUUUAAAACCUGCAUCUUCAUCUGACAGCUGUAAAGACUUUAAAAUAUUUGUAUUGCAAUGCUUUUAGGAGCAAUUUUUACCCUUUAUGACAUCAAAAUUUUCAUGGCCAAGGGGCAAAAAUGAUAGAUUCACAGACUGUGGUUUAGGAAAGUGGUUCAGCACCUUGGGAGUUGAGCGGUGAAUAAACAU